ensembl:lncRNA
GCUACACUUGAUACUUCCAAGGCUGAUUUCCUCCAAGCUCCCCUUUCUUCACCUCCUUUGCCCUAGGCUUUCAUAAAGCCAGACAGAGAAAAAGGAAUUUCACUUCCCAAAUGCUAGAACUGCUGGUGCAGAACGUAACUAAAUAUCAGCAGCUGUGCCAGGGCACCUGGGGCCAUAUAAGGAGACUGACAAAAGACUUAGUUAUGAACAAGAUCCCAGUUCUCUGCUCAUCAUGGCUUCAUGUGCUUCAAGAAGGGCAGGAAGAAUCGGAGAUUUGCAGCUACGCUCUUUUUUAAAAAUGUGUAUGAGAGACAUUCUUAGGAAAAAGGAUAAAACAGAUAUUCCUAAAGCAACAAAGUGGGACAGACGUAAUGUCAAUGUUUCUCCUGACUACUGCUUCCAACUUUAAUGCGUAAAUAUUCUAUCACCUGGGGAUUGUGUAAGAUACAGAUUGUGAACCAGUAGGUCAGGGGUAGGGCCUCAGAAUCUGCAUUUCUGACAAGCUCCCACAGGAUAUUGGUGCAGCUAGUCUGAGGACCAUAUUUUAUUUUUUAAGUUUUUUUUUUUUUUUUUUUUGAUGUGGACCAUUUAUAAAGUCUUUAUUGAACUUGUUACUCAUGUGUGCUACAUGUGUGUUACAACUUUUGUUUUAUGUUUUGGUUUUCUGGCCAUGAGAUAUGUGAGAGCUUCCAGACCAGGAAUUGAAUGCAUACCCAUUUCAUUGGAAGGCAAAAUCUUAACCACUGGACCACCAGGGAAGUCUCUGAGGACCUCAUUUUAAAUAAUUAGGGGCUAGACCAAUUUACUGGCCUUUCAAAUACUUGCCCCUCAAUACUAUUUCAAAGAAGUUUCAUUUAAGAAUUCUUACUCAACUCAACAAGAGCUCUCCUGAAGACAAGCACUGCAUAUUCUAGCUCCCUGGUAGAUCUCUUAGCACCUAGCAUGGCGCCAUCAGCAGAACAAAAAAGAUGAAGUAACUAAGUUUCAGAAGCAAACCUUUCCAGAGGCAAUGCAGCACAGAUACAAGGAAGAAGACCUAGGUUCAAGGACAAUUUGUGAUAUCGGCAGAAAAGAUUGUUUCCUCAUGAUGCUCCUACCGUGAUCUGGAGACCACACUGGGGCUUAUGGUAAAGAUGGGAAGAGUCCCAGCCUUUUGGGAGAUGAAUUUUGUUACACUGUUCUUAUGGCAGCACUACUUGGGUUCCAAAGUCUCACUAAGCUUUUACUUUCUUCCUUUUCUCUCUCUGACCCAGGCGCAAGUCCUUACCUUGUACUCAGAAGUGUAUUCCGCCCUUUAUUUCUUAAAUGUUUUUACCAGAUCAUACUUAGCGGCCCGACUUCCUCUUUGCCCCACCUGCACUCAUUAGACAUUGCUGGACACGCAGAACUGAAUCUCUGCAGGGAGCACAGCUUGGGUCAGGCUGGGAUGCUGAUGCUCUUUCCCUCUGCAAGAGGAGUAGGGCCUGUGGGGGCACAUCGCCAUCCCCACCCUCUUCCACCACCAGCUAAAUAGUAACUGUGCACCGGUUAGGUCAUUCAACAAGUGAUGGAUGCUGGACCCAGACCUGUCCUUGUGAUGUUCUCUUUGAGGAGGAACAGGAUGUACAGAAAGGAGUAAUUAGCAUUUAAGUUUGUGUUUAGAUAAGGGCUAGUGAAGAUGGACAGAGUAUGAUGGCUACAGAAGAUCUUCGCAGACUAGGAGUUGGCUUGACAGGGGCUGGUCAAAAAGAUGUGACAGAUGAGAUGAACCUAAGAAAAUAGUUGAAGCAAGAGCCAUAGUGUACCAAGGGGCAGGGAGAGUGGUUACCCCGGGGUGCAGGUAAAAGGAAGGUGUGUUCUCUGGAGAAAAUCUAAAAACAAUAAAACCAACUAAAAGUCCACUCUUUAUUAUCACGGUGUACCAGCAAUUCUAGACAAUACAAGACUGUCUGGUAGUAGUCCUUUAUUGCCCAACAGUACGAGCUGUGUGCUUUUAUAUUACUCUCAAAGAAAUCCGUAGUCUUUCUUAAGUAUUGGAUUUCCCAAUUCCUUCUGUCAGAUAAGUUGUGUUUUAUUUUCAAUCUCUCACCUCUUCUUGAAAAGUCUAGUGUAAAAAGUCAGAUCAUCAUUCGAAGUUAGAAUGAAAAUGUGGCAUCAGUGAGAGGACUGUGUAUGUAAACAAUAUUCAGGGAAUGGGCAAUGGGUCUAGAAUCCUAGAAUUUCUUUCAGUUUUACUUUUGGCUCCCCUAUAUAAACCUGCUGUACUAUCCAAAAAUCAGUAAGCCCAUGGUGUUGUGGAUAGCAGGGAUGUAACCCCAUGUGAGUAGGUGUCCUUUCUUUAUAUUGUUCACUUGUGUCCCCAAAGCAUCAAGGUUGGUGCUUGGCCAGAGGAGAUACUCAAUAAAUAUUUGUUGUAUUGGAGGGAAAAAGAAAUCGUUCAAGUGAUCCAAAUAGAGGUUAAAGGC